ACGAACGCUGGCGGCGUGCUUAACGCAUGCAAGUCGAACGGUGAAGCGCCUUCCUUUUUGGUGGGUGUGGAUGAGUGGCGAACGGGUGAGUAACACGUGAGUAACCUGCCCCCUUCUUCUGGAUAACCGCAUGAAAGUGUGGCUAAUACGGGAUAUUCUGGGUCUGUCGCAUGAUGGGUCUGGGAAAGAUAUUGUUUCGGUGGGGGAUGGGCUCGCGGCCUAUCAGCUUGUUGGUGGGGUGAUGGCCUACCAAGGCGGUGACGGGUAGCCGGCCUGAGAGGGUGGACGGUCACACUGGGACUGCGACACGGCCCAGACUCCUACGGGAGGCAGCAGUGGGGAAUAUUGCACAAUGGGCGCAAGCCUGAUGCAGCGACGCCGCGUGAGGGAUGGAGGCCUUCGGGUUGUGAACCUCUUUCGCCAGUGAAGCAGGCCUGCCUCGUUUGUGGGUGGGUUGACGGUAGCUGGAUAAGAAGCGCCGGCUAACUACGUG
rnacentral:rRNA from 1 species